CAUGGUUGAAGUGUGGCACUUAACCCCCAUUUGCUCCCGGGAACUGGAUCUAUAGCUGCCCACAGCUCUGGGUGUGUGUUCACUUCUCACUGCUCUGUGUGUGCACUUGGAUGGGUUAAAUGCAGAGCACCAUUUACAAGUAUGGGUAACUUUCACUUUUCACUUUCACUUUCACAAGGGGGUUUGGUGAGAUCAACGUAAAGAAGUGUUUUGGACAGAUUGUAAGAGAAAUGAUUGGAAAGAAAUUUUUUUAUGAAGGAGUUCGGAAAUCAUGGUGUUUGAUGAAAAUAACAAGGUCUAUUGAUGUAAAAUAUUUACAUUGGUUGUUAGAACCAUUUGAUUAAUGGGUCUAGGUUGAAUAUGUCUUGUGAGAUACCAUCAUGGUUUGAACAAAAAAUUAAAAAUGCACAGAUAAUAAUAAUGAAGGACUUGGUGGAAGUGGCUGGAAAGGAUUUAAGUAAUAUUUUUGCAUUGACUCAUGAACUUGGACUUCCUUCUGAAUUAAUAGAUUGAGAGAUGUUGGACAAAAUGUUAAGUUCCAUAUCUGAAGAAUGGAUACUUCUAUAUGAUUAUUCAAUAUUACAACAAAGACCAGAAGCAGAAGACAAUUUUCCAGCAAUGAUUUCUCCAGACUUACCAUACACUGAAAUUAACUGUCCUUUGACAGUAUCAAACAAUUUGCAGGAUAUAAAUAUUAAACUUAUAUUUGGGAAAUAAAGUAUGUUUAAAGUUGUUGAACAAAAAACAGCUGGUACUGUAUAUCGUUCUGAUAAUUCAUUGUGAAAGACAUUUAUGUGUUGCUUCUAAUUUUAAACCAAUGUGGGGUACACUUCAAAAAGUUUUUCAAGCAGUACGUCAUGCAAUUAAUUAUUUGUCUUUCAAUUAAAUUUACCAUCAUCUGUAUGCAGCGGACAAAACUGCGCUUGAACCCUGUGUAAUUGUUAAGUUAAUUUUACUCAUACAACGGAGGCGAGACGAUGGUGGCAUUAAUAUGGUUCAGAGGCCUCUUAACGACUUUUUUGAUUUAGAAGGAAGAAAUGCUUUGGUAGUGAUGCAGCUGAAAAGACAGACUCCAUGUAAGAAUCCUCAGCGUUGAUCAGGCAAGUCCUCAUCUAACACAUCUAGAGUGGGAAUCAUCUUAGAAGAAACUUUGUAAUGGAUCAACCGACCGUUCUCAGGCCUUCUAUGUCCAUGUUUUCAGACUGAUUUAUGCCCUGCACCUGGACUAAGUGUUUGAAAAGCACUUUUAUUCAGCAGGUAUGCUAAACCUUG